rnacentral:lncRNA from 1 species
AAAACGGAGCAGAACCUGCUGGCUGAGAAGGCCUUUAAUCUCAUCUCUGGAGUCUAGUUAGCAACAUCAGUGCUUGGCAAACUCUGAGAUCUUGAUAGAGGGAGGAAUGGGAUAAUGGAUACCUGCCUCUACAAUCAAGCUUUUAGGUCAGUUCUAGGAAUUGAACUACAAACAACAGUAACAACAGACACCACUCGUGAGAAAACAAACCAGAAUAAGGACAGACAGACAGAAAUAUGGAAGGAAAGAAAAACAUUGACAGAACACAAGAAACACACACAUACAAACAAAAUCCACAAAAACACGGAAUCAGAAGAUAUAAUAUGCAAGAAAAAGACAACUAAGAUAAAAGGUGCCCUAACAAAGCAAUAUGGAACGAACAAACAAACAAACAACAAAUAAAAAAUCAAGUUUUGUGUUUGUGUGUUCGCCAUCUACUCCUGAGCAUGGGGUGGGGGUGCCCUUAAAUGUGCCUUAUAUAUCUAGUGAGACUCCAUUGAAGAAAAUGAAUUGUUAUCGAUCACUUCUGGGUUAGAUCCAUUUCCCUUCUCACUAUUGGACUCUGUCUAGCUUGAAGCUGUGCAGACCCUAUGCAUGCCUCCAUGCAUUAUUCUGUGUGUCCAUGGCUUUUUCCUUUCAACUAUCAGGUGACAGUCCAUUGUAUGAAUGCAGCAUAGUUUCCAGUGUUCAUUCACUUUUUCUUUUUUAAGCUGGUAGACAAAAACAAAUUGUGCCCAUUACUUGGGUACCGUGAGUUAUCUGAUACAUGUGCAUAUUGUGCUGGGAUCAAAUGACAUUAAGGAAAUGUAUCUCAUUAAACAGCCAUUACUUCCUUAUGGAGAAAGCAUUUGAAAUAUUUUCUUGCAGCUUUUUGUUUUUUCCCUUUUGGAAUAGUACAUUGUAUGUAACCUAUCAUCGAUAGCAACAGUUACAGUCCUCAUCAUCUUUUGAUGAACUCUGUGGCUUCCAGUUUAAUGUUUCAAUAGGUAAGAUGGCCGGGAGCACUCACAGGGAGCACUCACACACACACACAAAGUUUAGUUAGAUGUAUGCCUUCUUUUCUCCUGGUAAACACAUAACAGUAGAUAGAAUAGGCUUCCAGAGUGGGUGUUAACUGAGCUUUUUAGGGCUUGUGAUCGUUUGUAUAUGCUUGGCCCAGGGAGUGGCACAAUUAGAAGGUGUGGCCCUGUUGGAGUAGGUGUGUCACUGUGGGUGUGGGCUUUAAAACCCUCAUUCUAGCUGCCUAGAAGCCAGUAUUCUGCUCGCAGCCUUCAGAUGAAGAUGUAGAACUCUCAGCUCCUCUUGUACCAUGCCUGCCUGGAUGCUGCCAUGUUCCCACCUUAAUAAUAACAGACUGGACCUCUGAACCUGUAACCCAGCACCAAUUAAAUGUUGUCCUUAUAAG